GGUGCGGCCCCUGUCUAAGUGCCCUGGAACGGGCCGUCAGAGAGGGUGAGAAUCCCGUCUUGGGCAGGGUGCCCGUGCCCGUGUGAAGCUCCUUCGACGAGUCGAGUUGUUUGGGAAUGCAGCUCUAAAUGGGUGGUAAAUUUCAUCUAAAGCUAAAUACCGGCCGGAGACCGAUAGCGCACAAGUAGAGUGAUCGAAAGAUGAAAAGCACUUUGAAAAGAGAGUUAAACAGCACGUGAAAUUGUUGAAAGGGAAGCGCUUGCGACCAGACUCGGCCCCGGGGUUCAGCCAGCACUCGUGCUGGUGUACUUCCCCGGGGGCGGGCCAGCGUCGGUUUGGGCGGCCGGUCAAAGGCCCCAGGAAUGUAUCGCCCUCCGGGGUUGUCUUAUAGCCUGGGGUGCAAUGCGGCCAGCCCGGACCGAGGAACGCGCUUCGGCACGGACGCUGGCGUAAUGGUCGCAAACGACCCGUCUUGAAACACGGACCAAGGAGUCUAACAUCUACGCGAGUGUUCGGGUGUCAAACCCGUACGCGCAGUGAAAGCGAACGGAGGUGGGAGCCCCCCCGGGGCGCACCAUCGACCGAUCCUGAUGUCUUCGGAUGGAUUUGAGUAAGAGCGUAGCUGUGGGGACCCGAAAGAUGG
rnacentral:rRNA from 1 species